CGCAGAAUUAAACACGGAUCAACUUGACCUACUUCAGUGUCAGUGGAAUCCGCCAGUGUUUUGCAAG
rnacentral:snoRNA from 25 species